CAUUGGAUUAAAUCAUUUUCCUGCGAGGUUCUAUCUCCGCUGAAGCCCUUUUGCAUUUGAUUGAUGUUGCUUGCACUGUUUUGAUUUUGGUGGCCGCGGGGGGCGGGUGGGUGAGUAACACGUAGGUAACCUGCCCGCGGCGGGGGACAACUUUUGGAAACUGAUGCUAUUACCGCAUAACACCGUUGUUCGCAUGAACACCGCUAAAAAGAUGGCUUCUCGCUAUCCCUUCUGGAUGGACCGGCGGUGCAUUACCUUGUUGGGGGGGUAACGGCCUACCAAGGCAAUGAUGCAUACCCAAUUUGAGAGACUGAUCGCCCACAGUGGGACUGACACCCGGCCCAUACUCCUACGGGAGGCGCAGUAGGGAAUCUUCCACAGUGGGCGCAAGCCUGAUGGACCAACACCGCGUGUGUGAAGAAGGUUUCCCGCUCGUAAAUCUCUGUUGUUAAAAAAAAAACACGUGUGAAAAUAACUGUUCAUACGUUGACGGUAAUUAACCAGAAAGUACGGCUAACUACGUGCCAGCCGCCCGCGGUUAUUCGUAGGUGGCAGCUUUACCGGAUUUUUGGGCGUAGAGAGUGUGCGGCGGCACUAGCUGGAGUGAAGCCCUCCGCUUACCGGAAAAGUUGCUCGAACUGAAUACUUUGAUGCAAGAGGUAUGAAACUCCUUGUUACGGGGAUGCUAUUAUGAAGACACCGUGCAGGGCCUACUGUUGCAUGACCUUAACUCAAUGUGGUCAGCAACAGAAUAAACCCGUGUAUCCUGGCCCUAACCCAGAUGUCUAAGAGAGUUAACGCCCUACGCGGACUUGACGCGGAUAAGACUUCCCUUGGUAACCCCAGAAGGU
rnacentral:rRNA from 2 species